GGAGGGGUGGCUGAGCGGUUGAAAGCACCGGUCUUGAAAACCGGCGAGGUUUAACGACCUCCGUGGGUUCGAGCCGAGUGCCGUCA
rnacentral:tRNA from 1 species